CUUCGCCCAGCGCCGCAAACCUCCAUCGCCGCCCAUCGCCGUCGCCUGGGUCUUCUCUUUCGUCGCGUCUCCAGAUCCUUCAGCCAGAUCUGCCUUCCCCCUUGACGUUGCCGUCGCCUUCAGUCCCUCUCUCUCUGGUCUCUCCUGUUGGUUUCAUUUUUACUGCCUUUUGUACUUGUAUCUAUAAUUCUUCACCAUUUACCAGAAAUGGGUAUGAAUUUUCAUCCCUACGGAGAAAAGGAUUCAAGAGAGGUAGAUCUCUAAUGCUGCGUUUUCUUGGUUUCUCUUUCAAUUUGUGUGGGUAUGUUAGGUUUUGUUGAAAUCCACCGUAUUUUCCACUUAAUCCAUCACAGGAGAAUACAGAACUUUGUUCCAUUUUUUUCGUUGUAUAGAUAUAGUCAUUUUGAACCAAGCCAGGAUCUGAGUUCUUCCAGUACAGCUGUUUGUUCGCUGAGAAAAGUGCCCCGGGAUGCUGUAGGCGUUUUCUGGGAUUUGGAUAACAAGCCACCAAAAUCAGUGCCACCUUACGAGGCUGCUGUUCGGCUAAAGAAGGCGGCAGCUGAAUUCGGAUUAGUUAGGUCCAUGGUUGCUUAUGCAAACCGCCACUUGUUUAGUUACGUUCCUUCAGAAGUUAGGGAACAGAGAAAAGAGAGGAAGGAACUAAAUAAAUUGGAAAAUAAGGGCGUAAUUAAGCCGGCUGAACCUUACUUGUGUCUGGUUUGUGGGAGGAAGUUUUAUAACAAUGACAAGCUUGUGAAUCAUUUUAAGCAAAUUCACGAGAGCGAACAGACGAAGAGGUUGAAUAAGAUUGAGUCUGCUAGAGGUAAGAAGAGGGUGAACUUGGUGGGCAAAUUCUCAAUGAAGAUGGAGAAGUAUAAGAAAGCUGAAAGAGAUAUUUUGACUCCUAAACUGGGCUAUGGACUGGCAGAUGAAUUGAAACGUGCUGGUUUUUGGGUUAAGGCCGUGUCAGAUAAGCCGCAAGCAGCAGACGUAGCAUUGAGGAAUCACAUGGUAGAUAUGAUGGAGCGGCAGCAAGUUAAGUGUUUAGUCCUUGUCUCAGAUGAUUCUGAUUUUGUGGAGUUCUUGAAGGAGGCAAGGUUGAGAUGUUUAAAGACAGUUGUCGUGGGUGAUAACAAUGAUGGGGCUCUCAAGAGAACUGCAGAUGCUGGAUUUUCUUGGCAGGAAAUUAUGCUGGGAAAGGCAAAAAAGGAGGCGGUAUCAGUUGUAGGACGGUGGAAGGAUCGUGAUGUUUUGAAGAGAUUGGAAUGGACUUAUGAUCCAGAAAGGGAUAGAAACCCAUAUGAUUUGGAUGCUGUUUUUGAGUCAGAGAGCUGCGAUUCAGAAAUUGAAGGCUUUUCUUAUGGAGAAGACGAUAAUUGUCUGAAAAAGGAAGCCAACAAUGCGUGGCGGGAGGUGGAAUCUGAGACAGACGUCACAUCAACAUGGCUUCCAUAUUUCCCUUGUAUGGCAUCUCCACAGAUUCUGGUACUUUCUCUUCAAUGACAUUUUCCGAGCCACACUCAGGCGAACUCUUCUCGCUGUGCUCUCUCACAUGCCCUGCAGCUAUGGCUCCUCCAGAGUUACUAAUAUUCCCAAAGAUCAAAGUAAAAAUCCCAGCAAUUGCAGUGCAAAAGGCAACCCCAAAUGCCCUGUUUACAUUGCCAUGGCCGGCUGAUGCAACUGCAAAGCCUGCACAUGUGCCAAAAGCUCUAACCCACGAGAACCACACUGAAAAGGCCCCCUCUUUCCCUGCUGGUGAGCAGUCCAGCAGUAAUACACGCCCAAAGGCAUGUAGGAGACCUGUUGCCACACUUUGGAUUGCAGCGAAGACCAAGACAUGUUGGUUCUUCCAAUCUUCAUGACGGUAAUAGAAUCCAACCCCAGAAGUGAGUGUUGAUAGUAGGAAACCAAGCAACUGCAUUUUCACUGCAUCAGCCCUGAUGAGUUGCUGCAGGGGCUGUACCAGUGGGAGAGACAGCACAGGGAAUAUGAAAUAUGUUAGCCAAAGGUAUAGUAAGUUCUUUGGUUUGAGGCAGAGUUGCCCUACUAAAUAGAGCACACCUCCUGUGAAUAUGCACAUUGUUGCACAUGAGGAAAAGAAAACACCACCCAAGCUUCCAGCUGCAUGAGGAUACUUAAAAAUGGAGAUCGCAUGGGUCUUGGGGAUUGAAGUUGUAUUUGCACCAGGUCUAUUACUAACAAAGGCAAGGAUUGUCCCAGCACACCAUUGAAGGCCACUAAAGAUUGAAACCACCCAUAAGCUGAGAAAUCUUUCGUGGUGUCCGAGCAUGUGGUACGUGAAAGAGGAGAUGACGGCAGAACCUAAGCAGCCAGCAGCUGUGGCGUAAAGCGAGAGCCAGCUUGACACGGCUCUUCUGUCAGGGAACUGGCUUUUCCUGAUACUGGAACCAAUGAAGCCACGAACCAUUAGGCCAAGGUGGCGAUUAUGUGAGGCUGCACAGACAGUAUUGGCCGCAACAAUAGCAGCAACAUAUGGUGGAAAGAUCCACGUGACUGAGAAAACCCCAGCUGGAAGACAGAAGAGAGCUCCAACGGCAGUUGCAGCAGCUAAAAUAAGUCUCUGGUUCUGACCAUAAUCAAGGUGGACAGACAAAACUCCUAGUGCUGGUGCUGCAAGAAUGAGACCUAGCCCCCAAGAAAUUGAAGUCCACUCAAACGGCGAGAAACUUAUGCUUCCGACUCUUAUUGAUGCGUGUGCAAAACCCUUAGGGGUCUUCUCCCACCCUUGUGGGGGCGUCGGGAUUGUCUUGAAGAUUUGGCUGAUGAGGAGAGGGAAUACAAUAGGAAUGAGAACUGUGUGAAUGAAGUAUGAGCAUAGCCCAUAGAGACACCAAGCCAGAACCUUCAUCUUUGUCGGUUUCUCUUCAAGGCCUGCAUAUGCCUGGUAAGCCUCCUUGGCCCUCUGGAUUUUCAAUCCCGUGUCAUGAAUAUCCACUGUCGCCAUGCUUUCCACCUCCCCGGUGGAUUGUAGCCCCUGCCCCGAUGUGCUUCGGAUUUCAGGAGUCAUCUCCGCCAUGUAAACACUUCAACCCACUGCUAUGUGACACACAACUUUUCAAGCUGGGAUUUUUAGAAGAGGCAGUUGUUGAAUGAGAGAGAUAAUGGCCUAUAAAAAUGGUGGGAUUUGGAGUUAAGCUAGCAGCUAGCUGGAUGUGAAAUUUUCAAAGAGUCAAGACUAGCCUCGAUUUGUUCAAUGGGGUUAUUAACAUAGAGGCAUCUUGGAAUCAUUCUCUUCUCUUCUCUUCAAGUAUUAAACCAAACACAAGGUAUGCAUAU